rnacentral:rRNA from 1 species
ACGCAUUAAGUGCUCCGCAUGGGGAGUACGGCCGCAAGGCUUAAACUCAAAGGAAUUGACGGGGGCCCGCACAAGCGGUGGAGCAUGUGGUUUAACUCGACGCAACGCGAAGAACCUUACCUGGGCUUGACAUCCCCUGACACCCCGGGAAACCGGGAUUGCCCUGCUUGCAGGGACGGGGUGACAGGUGCUGCAUGGCAGUCGUCAGCUCGUGUCGUGAGAUGUUGGGUUAAGUCCCGCAACGAGCGCAACCCCUUUCUUUAGUUGCCAGUAUCCAGUUAGGCACUCUAAAGAGACUGCCUCGGCUAACGGGGAGAACGGUGGGGAUGACGUCAAGUCCUCAUGGCCUUUAUGCCCAGGGCUACACACGUGCUACAAUGGGUCGUACAAUGGGUUGCUAUACCGCGAGGUGGAGCCAAUCCCAAAAAGCGGCUCUCAGUUCGGAUCGGAGUCUGCAACUCGACUCCGUGAAGGUGGGAUCGCUAGUAAUCGUGGAUCAGCAUGCCACGCUGANUACGUUCCCGGGCAUUGUACACACCGCCCGUCACACCACGAUAGUCGGCUGUACCAGAAGUUGCUGGCAUACCGUUCGGGGAGGCAGGCGCCGA